CCGAGUAGCCAGGCUCAACUCCUGUGUUUGCUGGCUUCCAAAUUCUUACACCAAACAUUUGUGUAAAUCUGGUGGGAAGUGGGCGCUCUGCUGGAGCACAGGAGUCUAAAAUGCACCUUCAUAGCCGUUUUCAACCUUUAAUCCUCGGGUAUUCAUAGGCAUGGAACUGCAUCGAAGAAACCAGUUAGGAGCCUUUGUGUGGAUUGUCUCAGCUAUCAGGGGACAGGAGCUUACUCAGCAGUUAUACCUUCUUGGACUAAGAACUCUGUGUGUCUCCAUACUGCAGACCACCACAUAGUCUCCAAGCUUGUUUGCUUCUGAUGAUGAAGAGGAAGAGGGUCUCAGAGGAUCGCUCGUAGUCAGUCCUUGACCUGGCCGGAAACCCUGGAACCUCUGGGAGACCACGAUCUAAAUCAAGAAUCAAAAUACUUCCCCAGCGCAACUGCAAAUUGAAAAGAAGCCCUAGUACUGUGCUGGCAAAUAUAUGGAUGGAAGAUGACUUCAAAAUGCUUAAAAGGUUCCCAGAGCAACUUGGUGACCUUUCUAGGUGAGAAAGAUAUUAAUGUCAGGUAUGUACUUGUUAUGAUUUGUGGAUGCCUGAGAGGUGAGAAAGGGAGCUUUCAAGAAAAGCAAUUAUUUGUUUGCUAUAUGUUAACAGUAUGAUGGUGUUUGUUUAAAAGUUAUCAUACUGCACAAAUAAAAUGUCAUGGCUAAGGAAAGUGAGGCAAAAUGCUCUACACAGUUUAUUACAAUAGAAGUCCUGCAAAGACAAACCAUACCAUGGUUUUGACCUUUCAAAAUCAAACCCAUGCUGCCUUCAAUCAACACUGUACUGUCUAUACCAAGCUGAAAGACUGAGUUUAAAAAGACUUUUCUUAUUUCAGUUCAAUUUUUAAAAAGUUACUAUACUAGGAUCUAGUACAAGGAGGAAAGGCUGAAGGAAAGGUCUGACAGGAACCUCAUGAAAUUUAACAAGGAGAAGUAUAAAGUCCUGCACCUGAGGAGGGACGACCCCAGGCACCAGUACGUGCUGGGGGCUGCCCAGCUGGAAAUCAGGCUGGCCAAAAAGGCCCUGAGUGUCUUGGUGGACAUCAAGUUGAGCAUAUGCCAGCAAUGUAGCCUUGCUGCAAAGAAAGUGAAUGGUAUCCUGGGCAGCAUUAAACAAUUUAUUACCAGCAGGUUGAGGGAGGUGAUCCUUCCUCUCUGUUCAGCACUGGUGGGGCCACACCUGGGGUACUUUCAGUGCUGGGCUCCCCAGUACAAAACAGACACUGUCACAUACUGAAGAGAGUCAAGGGAAGGGCCUCAAAGAUGAUGAAGGGACAGGAGCUUCUCUCCUAUGAGGAAAGGCUGAGAGAGCUGGGUCGGUUUGUUAUGGGGGACCUCAUCAAUGUGUAUAAAUACCUGCAGGGAGGGUGCAAAGAGGACACAGCCAGGCUCUUCUGAGUGGUGCCCAGUGCCAGGACCAGAAGCAGUGGACACACACUGAAACACAGGGGGUUCCCUCUGAACAUCAGGAAAUACAUUUUUACUGUGAGGGUGACACAACAGUUCACUGACCUUAAUGAUAAAUCUCUAGCAGCUUCUUUUCAGGUUUUGUUCUUAAUAGUGAGAGAAGUGCUGGAAGAUGACUGGAAAAUGUUGCUGAAAAUUGGAAGAAACAAGUACUAGAACAAACAAUACUGUCUGGGAGAUUGGCUACACAGCUGGUUGAAGUACUGAUGUUCUAAUGUGCUCGUGGUAUUUGCCAGAUUCUGCUUCGAUAAGGAAAUACACUAAGAAUUACUUUCUUGUGAGAUGAGCCACCACAGGAAAGAUGUACCAGAGAAGACAUGUUCUCCCAAACCACAGCCAAAGCCUCGUGCCUCAGCAUUGCUUUUACAUUGUCAUGUUUGCACAAUGAACUUUAUUAA